AUGAACGCUAGCGGCAGGCCUUACACAUGCAAGUCGAGGGGUAACAGGAGAAAGCUUGCUUUCUCGCUGACGACCGGCGCACGGGUGCGUAACACGUAUGCAACCUACCUCUUACUGGGGGAUAGCCCAGAGAAAUUUGGAUUAACACCCCAUAGUAUCACCAGUUCGCAUGUUCAGGUGAUUAAAGGUUACGGUAAGAGAUGGGCAUGCGCCCCAUUAGCUAGUUGGUGAGGUAACGGCUCACCAAGGCUACGAUGGGUAGGGGGUCUGAGAGGACUAUCCCCCACACUGGUACUGAGACACGGACCAGACUCCUACGGGAGGCAGCAGUGAGGAAUAUUGUGCAAUGAACGAAAGUUUGACACAGCGACACCGCGUGUGGGAUGACGGAUCUAGGUUUGUAAACCACUUUCAGGAGGGAAGAAAAUGACGGUACCUCCACAAGAAGCCCCGGCCAACUACGUGCCAGCAGCCGCGGUAAUACGUAGGGGGCGAGCGUUGUCCGGAUUUAUUGGGCGUAAAGAGCUCGUAGGCGGUUCAACAAGUCGGUCGUGAAAGUUCAGGGCUCAACCCUGAAAUGUCGAUCGAUACUGUUGUGACUAGGAUACGGUAGAGGUGAGUGGAAUUCCGAGUGUAGCGGUGAAAUGCGUAGAUAUUCGGAGGAACACCAAUUGCGAAAGGCAGCUCACUGGACCGCUAUCGACGCUGAGGAGCGAAAGCUAGGGGAGCAAACAGGAUUAGAUACCCUGGUAGUCCUAGCUGUAAACGAUGGAUACUAGACGUAGGAACUGGAUUGACGGUUUCUGUGUCGUAGCUAACGCGUUAAGUAUCCCGCCUGGGGAGUACGGUCGCAAGACUAAAACUCAAAGGAAUUGACGGGACCCCGCACAAGCGGCGGAGCAUGCGGCUUAAUUCGAUGAUACCCGUAGAACCUUACCUGGACUUGACAUAUAGGGUCAAGCUAUAGAGAUAUAGUGUGCAUUAGCGCCCUAUACAGGUGGUGCAUGGCUGUCGUCAGCUCGUGUCGUGAGAUGUUGGGUUAAGUCCCGCAACGAGCGCAACCCCUGUCCUAUGUUGCCAGCAUUUAGUUGGGGACUCAUAGGAGACUGCCGGUGAUAAACCGGAGGAAGGUGGGGACGACGUCAAGUCAUCAUGCCCCUUAUGUCCAGGGCUGCACGCAUGCUACAAUGGCAAGUACAACGAGUCGCAAUACCGCGAGGUGGAGCAAAUCUCUUAAAGCUUGUCUCAGUUCGGAUAGGAGUCUGCAACUCGACUCCUUGAAGUUGGAGUCGCUAGUAUCGCAAAUCAGCAAAGUUGCGGUGAAUACGUUCUCGGGGUUUGCACACACCGCCCGUCAA
rnacentral:rRNA from 1 species